AGAUGAUUUAUCUGGGCAUCCUCAGAAAGGAAAGGAACAGUCUUCUUCCUCUACAUGCUACUUAGCUGUUACAACUUUUGCAUCCAAACUCAAGUCUGUUGCUCAUUUUGCAGCUCUGGAGAGUAGUCUGCCUACCUGUGUUACUGAGGAGCGCUGUGAUGGAUUUCCCUCUAGUGAUGAAAUAUGUCAACUGCAGAUUAUUCCACAAAUCUAAGAUGUGCUUGGAACAAGAAUUGAUGUUAUUUUGCAAUCAGGAAGCCAAUCAAAAAUCUCUCAAGACGCUUCACAGUUUUCCGUAUAGUGAAAACAGCUUAAUGAAGGACAUAGUCAGUGAUGUGGGAACAUGAAAACUGUCCUGUGAGACUUCAAUUACUGAAGAUACAAAAGAGGGAAAAAGAAAAUGGACCAAAAAUUCAACUUAAUUUAGCCAUUAUCUGGCAGGCUUUGCAGUGCUGACAACGUAAGAUCUUGUUGACCUUGUAAACCAAGCACUUUUAAGAUGCACUUGACAGACAGUGCAGGUACAUAUCCUCAUUGCCAUACCUGUUUAAAGGUGUCUGUUCACAACAGAUUUUCAGGUUCAGGUGUAUAUAAUCCUAAAUUAAAAACUACUUCAGAAAUUA